rnacentral:rRNA from 1 species
GGGUCAGUAGGUUGGUCGUGCCACCGGUACGUACUGGUCUCACUGAUUCCUCCUUCCUGAAGAACCGUAAUGCCAUUAAUUUGGUGUUGCGGGGAAACAGGACUGUUACUCUGAAUAAAUUAGAGUGUUUAAAGCAAGCUAACGCUUGAAUACAUUAGCAUGGAUUAAUGAAAUAGGACGAUCGAUCCUAUUUUGUUGGUUUCUAGGAUUGACGUAAUGAUUAUUAGGAUAGUUGGG